ACAUACUCUAGAGCUUAAUUCAGCAUAUCUUAAUAAAUAUAAUUACUACCAAAUCCUAAAAAGAUAAAUUUUACAAAUUCAAAUUUAUAAAUGUAACCCAUUUCUCCUCUUAUAAAGCUGCACCUUGAUUUGAUCUAAAAUAAAAUUUUAUUUAAAGAAAAUUUAUUUUUUUAAAAAUAUUCAUUACAACAACGAUAUACAAGCGCUAAUAAAAGUUUAAUAAAUUGUGGAUUAUCAAUUACAGAACAGGUUCCUCUGGUAAGUUAAAGUACCGCCAAGAUAUAUAAUUUUCAAGUACUUAACUAUUACUAAUCCGGUUUAAAUAUUUAUUAAACUAAUAACAGGGUAUCUAAUCCUGGUUUUUAAAUAGAAUCUUCCCAGAUUAUUUAAUCAAUAAAGCUUUCAUUUUAUAUUAAAAUUUCACCUAUCAAUACAACAUUUUAAAUUUUAAAUAAAUUUACUAUAACCACAAAGAUUAAGUUACACUCUUUGUAUAACCGCA
rnacentral:rRNA from 1 species